AUGCCGCUCCGCACGCUGCUCCGGCACCUCGCGGCUGGCCAGUUCGCGCGCCUGCAGGCGCUCACGGGCGCGGCCACGGCGCCGGCCGCGCACCGCGUCCUCCACCUCCUCCUCCGCACCGCGCCGGCCCCUCCCCUCCCCCACCUCGUCUCCCUCGCGCGCUGGUCCCGCUCCCACUUCCGCGCGCCUCUCCCGCUCCGGCUCCACGCGCUGCUGCUGGCCCGCCUCGCCUCCCACGGCCUCCACCCGCUGCUCCGCUCCGAGCUCCACGCCCUCGCCGCCGCCCGCCUCCACUCCCCGGCGUCAAUCGUCCGCGCCCUCCCCGCGGCUUCCCCAGCCGCCGCGCCGCUCAUCGCCGACAUGCUCGUCCUCGCGCUCGCCAGGGCCUCCCAGCCCCUGGCGGCGUACGAGGCCUUCCUCCUCCUCGGCGACAACCACCCGCGCCACCGCCCCUCCGCCUUCUCGGUGAACAGCCUGCUCUCCGCCCUUUUCGCCGCCGACCGGGUCGACCUCGCCGAGCGGGCCUUCAAGGCGGCGCUCCGGCGGCGCGUGUCGCCGGACCUUUUCACCUUCAACAUCGUCGUCUCCGGGCUCUGCAAGGCUGGGCAGCUUCGCAAGGCCGGCGAUGUCGCCAAGGACAUCAGGGCGUGGGGGCUGACCCCCUCUGUGGCCACCUACAAUGCUCUCAUCGACGGCUACUGCAAGAAGGGUCGUGUCGGGAGGAUGUACCACGUCGACGCGCUUUUGAAGGAGAUGGUCGAGGCUGGAAUCUCGCCCAAUGUUGUUACAUUCAAUGUGCUGGUUACUGGGUAUUGCCAGGACUCGAACACUGCUGCUGCGGUGAAAGUCUUUGAGGAGAUGAAACAGCAGGGGAUUGCGCCCAGCAUGGGGACAUACAAUGCACUUGUUUGGGGUCUCUGCUGUGAGGGGAAGGUAGAGGAAGGGGUGAAGCUGGUGGAUGAGAUGCAGGAUCUGGGGCUGGCGCCUAAUGUGGCCACCCUGAAUAGUGUGCUGAAUGGGUUUUGCAAAAAGGGCUUAAUGGCAGAUGCUGAGAAUUGGGUUGAUGGUAUGGCACAGAGGAAUGUUGAACCGAAUGUGGUUACUUACAAUACCUUGAUGGAUGGAUAUCGCCGGCUCGGUAAAAUGAUGGAUACGGCGGCUGUGAAGGAGGCCAUGGCAGGGAAGGGGAUUAGUCCAAAUGUCAGAACAUACAAUUGCCUGAUAGCUGGGUUUGACCAGAGCGGGGAUUGGGGCAGUGUUUCUGGUCUUCUCGAUGAGAUGAAGGACAAAGGUGUUAGAGCUGAUAUUGUCACUUACAAUACACUUAUUGGUGCCCUGUGCUGCAAAGGGGAAGUACGUAAAGCUGUAAAGCUCUUGGAUGAAAUGUUGAUGGUUGGCUUGGAACCAGAGCAUCGGACUUACAACAACAUAAUAAAUGGGUACUGUGAGAAGGGGAACAUUAAGUCUGCCUAUGAAAUUAGGGCCAGGAUGGAGAAAGGUAGGAAACGGGCAAAUGUGGUCACAUACAAUGUCUUCAUCAAGCACCUUUCCAGAAUGGGGAAGAUGGAGGAGGCUAAUGAGCUCCUGAAUGAGAUGUUGGAGAAAGGUCUCGUUCCAAAUAAGGUUACCUAUGAAACAAUCAAGGAGGGGAUGAUGGAGAAAGGUUACGUUCCUGAUGUAAGAGGACUCGCUUGCUCAGAAGCCUCUCAAAAUCUGACAUCCUGA
rnacentral:rRNA from 1 species